UUAUUGGAGAGUUUGAUCCUGGCUCAGGACGAACGCUGGCGGCGUGCCUAAUACAUGCAAGUCGAGCGGACUUGAGGGAGCUUGCUCUCGAUAGUCAGCGGCGGACGGGUGAGUAACACGUGGGCAACCUGCCUGUAAGGCUGGGAUAACUUCGGGAAACCGGAGCUAAUACCGGAUAAUCCUUUCCCUCACAUGAGGGAAAGCUGAAAGACGGUUUCGGCUGUCACUUACAGAUGGGCCCGCGGCGCAUUAGCUAGUUGGUGAGGUAACGGCUCACCAAGGCGA
rnacentral:rRNA from 1 species